AUCAUCAGCAAACAACAUGCACCACGGCACCUCUCCUUGUAUUUCUCUAGUGAUUUCAGUAACGUUUGUGUAAUGUUUCAUUAAAAUAUAUAAAAAGAUUUGCAAAUAUUUCUUCUACUAACAUUGAUAAAUUAUUUUUUUUAGCCAUAGUUUUUUUGUCAAAUUAAAUUUUAAAGGGGCCAAAUGAUACUUUUACCCUCCUCGUAUUUUGACCAAGAAGAUAACUGUCCCCCUAACAGCCGGUUUGGGCACCAAUAAAUACAAAGUAUUAUUAAAUGGAAAUGCUAUUUUAAAAUUUGAUUUUAAUAAUGUUAUAUAAAGAAUACAUGAAACUGUCGAACCAGUGGAAAAAUUAGGUUAUAUUGAAAAUUGCAUGAACAAUUAUUUUAUAACAAGUUGAAAAUAGUCUAUUGAUAAUAUGUUUACCGUCUGCCAUAAUUAGAAUAUGGAAUUAUAUGCAUAUAAAAGGUAGGUCACUUUAAAUGCUUGCACAUUUUUUAAAAUUAAAUAUACGUAUUAUCUUAAAAAUAACAGCUGAUAAAGCAACUUCUAAGGGAAUAUUUGGAUUUAGCUAACAAAAAUUUUUAAAAAUGAGCCCUCAUACUCCUGCAACUGAAAACUUCAUUUUUGUUGGUUAGUGUAGUUUAUUUGGUUUAUAUAGAAUAUAUGUAUUACAUUAAAUUAUAAUAUAUAUGUUUAUAUAAGGAGUAUAAUGCGAUUUCAUGGUAUAUGAUUUAAAAUUAAAAUAUAAUUUGUUUUACAUCUCCAUGUUUGUUAACUAUAAAUAUUUUUUUAUCGGGCACACGCGAGGAUCCAUUAAGAAGACAGCUUAGUUAAAUACAAAAAUAAUUCUGAGAAGUAUAAAUAAUAUUGUAUUAACAAAUAUGUUUCAUAUUUGGAAGUUACAAUAAAAGCUAUAAUCUAUUAGAUUAGAGGUUUUAAAAAACACAUAAAAACAACAUUAGUGGAUUCUCGGGCAAGGCGAAUAGG